AAGAGUGGACUGGGCAGAUGAAGAGUUGCCACAGGCUUUCAGGGGAUCACCAAAUCUGUGCCAGUCCUUCAGAGAAAUGAGCCCACCCUCUGAAAUGCUUAAUCCAGGUGAUGGAGAAAGAAGAAAGAGAGGUUAUCCAGAGGUUUUGGGAAGAGAUUGUCUGAUGUGUCUGCAGAGUGGGACCCUGUUUGAGAGCUUUGGUCUGUGUAAAAUGUGCCUGCCCACCACAGAGCCCUCGUGGGGAUUUAUCCAUGCAACACCUGCCUGCCAGGGAAGGCUUGAUACAUCAAGAAAACUUCAGAGGAGUUAUUAUUGCCUCACACCAAUGGUAAGGCGAAAGAGAAGCAAGUUAUUCAUGUUUAAUGUUGUUUUGUGCCAGAUGUUUUGCUGGUAGAAAUCCAUAGCUCCACAGGCAUCAAUUUCUUCAGGAUCUGGAAUGUUUGACACAUUUUUUUUUCUCCUUUCUGGAUGGUCUGUAAAGG